AGCAAUACUAUGAAGUUCCCAUUGUAAUGAAGUCAGUGUUCGACAUAGUAGAUACUUUCCAGUCCAGACUCAAGGAAAUGGAAAGGCAAAAAAGAGAAGGAAUUACAUGCAAGAAGGAAGACAAGACGAGGUCCUUAGAGAACUUCCUUUCUAGGUAAAUAUAUAUAUAGAUAGAUAUACCUGUAUAUGUAUCCGAGUUUUGGCUGAUUUACUUGGUUAUUUGCUAUGCUAAUAUUAAUCCUCCAUGUUCUGGAUUAACUUAAGUAGCCAUCCAUGUGUGCUUUUGCAUGUGGUGUAGAUCACUUUGUGGUGCAAACAUUUUUUCAGGAUCUACCUUAUUAUCAAGACUAAUGUUUAACCUUCAUGACAAAGUCUGUGUGUGGUAUGAAGAUGCUAUUAAUGUACUUAACAAGCUCAGUACCACGUAUGGACUAGGUUUAAAUGCCAUUAAUAUUGCCACUAUUGACACAUCACAUAAAAUGGCUGUAUGGAGGUCCUACAAUGAAGGUCCUACAAUUCAGGUGAUUGGAGACUCUAUGGAGAUCUUACAAUGCAUGGAGGCUGUAUGGAGGUCGUACAAUGGAGGUCCUACAAUGCAGGUGAUUGGAGGCUGUAUGGAGGUCCUACAAUGCACAGAGGCUAUAUGGAGGACCUACAAUGCAGUUGAUUGUGGGAACAGCGGACCCCAUUCUUAUCAUCAUCACAAAGUAGUAGGGCCUCCAUUACAAGUUGUACACUCCACGCUCUCAGUGUUAACCUCAUGUACAUGCUGUUACUGGACAGUCUGAAUCCUGAGACUGUCCAGAAGCAAGAUCUAGACUAGAGCUUGUCACAGCCAUAGGUUCACUGUGAUCACAGUAGUUAUCCCCCCAAUUCCUGCAUGGAAUGUUAGGAUUAGCUGUCAAACUGAAGGACUGCAUCACAAAGAGUCAGUCCAGCAGUAAUCCCUGAUUGGCUACCAUCCUGACCCUGUGAGUUAUUUACAGUAAUAACCUAAAAAUAAACUAAACUGUCAGUCAAGGCAGGUUAUUACUGUGAUUGGCUUCCAGGGUGAUAAAUCAGCCUGGGGGAUCAAUCUACUAAAAUGCAUAGCUUGGGUUAAACUUAAUGUUAGGUUUAGGGUUAGCAUUAGGGUUACAAUUAAGGUUAUGGUUAAGAGAGGGUUAAAAAAAAAAAAAAAGCUGUGGUGCUGGUCAAUAUGCUGACACAGAUAGUGUAACCACCAAAUAGUGUAUCUGUAAAGCAGGUAUAGCGGCAUGUCAAAAUUAGGGCACAUCUCUAAUGCAAAACUGUAAAUUACCACCAAACCUAGCAAAGAUGCACAAGUUGGUCAGUGUUGCACUUAGCGCCAGUAGCAGAAUACAAAUCAGGGGUCUUUACAGUAGUGGGACAAAAAUGGUCUGUGAAAUUAACCAAGAAAAUGACACAUUUGGGAAAAUCACAAAAAAAAGAAUCAGGUAUACCCAGUAGUUUUAACUGGGUUAGUGGCAAAAUGGUUAAAUGAACACUGUCAACAUACUGAUAAAUAGCCUGAUGCAUCUAUUUUCUACAAGCAUAUACUUUUGAGUAACACAUUUGUAUUCUGCGACUGCUAUAAAGGUUAAAGUGUUAGCAUGCCAAAUUUGGCAAAGAUUUAGUUGUAAAACUGUAAUUCAUUGCUUGCCAUAUUUGUCCUGUAGUGGCCAAAAAAUUUAUUGAAAUCCUAGACAUAUGAGGCAUUUUCACAAUGGGCACUAAUAAGUGAAUCUAUUUAGACAAUAUUUUAUUUAGUUGCACUAGCUGUGUAGAAGUUAUUAUGAGCAAAGCUUUUAAAACCACUUAUUUUUAAUACUUUGGUAAUAAUUAGUACAUGUUAGGAAUACAUAAAGGGUGUCAGAAGAACACCCUAUCUGUCCUCUUAAAAACUGUUAUAUGUUAUGUAUGGGUAAAUAUGAUGGGAUACACCUCUAGAAAACAUGCCAAAAAAGCCUUUAUCUAGUAAUAUCAGCAUUUGGGAAAAGGCUCAGUCAUGAAGGGGUUAAUAUUUCAGUAUCAGAUACUUAUAUUUAUGUGAAUCAACUGCCUACUUGAUGGGAUUUGUGGUAUACUUGCUUCCAUUUCUGGAUUUUGUGUUAAACUGCUAGUGCGUUAGUGCUCCCCCUGCAGGAUGUUUGCUACAUUUUUCAAGUGUGGUUUAUUUUUAAGCAUAGUGUUCUGUUAAAUUAGGUAAACAGAUAUUAGAGUUUGCCUUGAGUACAGUUUUGUGAAAGAAAUAAGAGUCUGGUGAAAAACCCGAUACCAUGGUUAUUGUUAAAAUAUGCAUUCGUUUUACAGUUGACUGUUCAUGUUCUCCAUGUAUGCAAAUUAUCAUGAAAACUGUAUGGUGUUUUUAUAGGCUAAUAACUAAAAUAUAGUGCUCAAUCGCUUGUAGCAAAGAAUGGAAAAUAGUAAUGAAGAAUCAGGCAGUGAACUAGUGAAAGUGUUCAAACAUACUAUCAGUGUUAUUUACUAAAGUGGGAAUUCAAAGUGAAUUUUAAAUGUAAGGCAAAAUAGCCAAACUGGAAACAUUAUCUUAUUCAGCUAUGCUUCCAGUUUAGCUACUUUUGCCAAAGAUUUGAAAUUCACUUUUAACUCUCACUUUAGUGAAUAACCUUUUAUAUUUUUUUAAUUCAUUCAUAAAUCUUAUAUACACACGAGGGAGACAGGAUGAUCCUUAUUAUGGUAAAAUAAUGACUUCAAGGAAUUCUGGUGACAUCAAAAUGAACCAUUGGACUGAUUAGUCAAUUAGUUUUAUAAGUAUUUACCGAACUCUGACAUGAUAUCAUUUUCCUAUAUUGCACAUUUCAACAUAUUUUAUCUUUUAUAUCAUGUGAUAUUUUUCGGCUACAGUUAACAGUUAAACGAACACUAUAGGGUCAGGAACACAAUGGCGUUAUAUAAAUAAUAUAAUAAUAAUAAUAAUAAUAAUAAUAUUUUCUUGACCCUAUAGUGUUAAAACCUCCAUCUACCCCUCCUCCUCCCCGACCCCCCUUGCCCUCCCCAUAUAUAAUAUAAUCUUACCUUUACUCCAGUCUGCGGCUGCUACUGCUACUGCCGGCUCUGCCCCUGAUCUGCCUGCUUGACUGACAUCAUCAGAAGUGUUGCUCAAAGCCAAUCACAAUGCUUUCCCAUAGGAAACCAUUGGAUUGUCUGAGACUGUCAAGGAGGCAGAUCAGGGGCAGAGCCAGCACAAGUCAAACACAGCUCUGGUCAAUCAGCAUCUCCUCAUAGAGAUGCAUUGAACAAAUGCAUCUCUAUGAGGAAAGUUCAGUGUCUCUAUGGAGAGGGUGGAGACACUGAAUGGCAGUUCCCCAGGAAGGAUCUCUAGCAGCCAUCUGAGGAGUGGCCAGUGAAGUUAUCACUAGGCUGUAAUGUAAACACUGCAUUUUCUCUGAAAAGAUAGUGUUUACAGCAAAAGCCUGAAGGGAAAAAAUAUAUACUUACCAGAACAAAUACAAUAAGCUGCAGUUGUUCUGGUAAUUAUAAUGUCCCUUUAAGUGGUAGCUUUAGUGUUUAGUGGGUAUAAUGGGAGUUACUCCGAUGCCACAAUUUCUGUUGGUCUUGAGGUAAGUGUUUUUUUGUUUUUUUUUCAAAACACAAUCAGACAGCAUAUCAAAACCAAACUAGGUCUUGAGCUAAAUCACUUGCAAAACAUAGGAAGAUUCAGGUACUUGAAAAAAACCUUAUUAGGAACUCCCUGUUAAGAAAUUACAUUGUUUCAGUCAAUUAAGACCUUUGUCUAGUCAUUAAGGUUGAAAAAGGCCUUACUUGGCCAAAACGUUGACACUUCUAAACUUCAACAGUUCCUAAUAAAAUCUGCACAAAAAAAGUUUUUGGAGUGCCCAGAACCUUUUCUGUUUUGGAAGUCUGGCUAGGAGUAUGCCGGCCCCAUGUUACACUAACCUAUAACCCGUAUAACAUUGCAAUACACUAACCUUGAACCUAUGGACUGUCCUAGCGAACGCUAAAACUAAUGCUUAAUACAUUCACUUUCCUAACACACUUACACUCCCCAUAACCCUUUAUCUCUACACCACAAUAAUACUUACAAUAACAUUGACAACGAACCCCUACACUACCCUAACACUACAGUUGAUCCCACACUGAAAUAAUACUUACAUUAUCACUAAUCCCUACAUUACCCUAACACAUUACCCAAAGGGUAGGCAACCUUAGGCACUCCAAAUGUUGUGGACUACAUCUCCCUUGAUGCUUUGCCAGCAUUAUGGCUAUAAAACAUUAUGGGAGAUUUAGUCCACAACAUCUGGAGUGCCGGAGAUUGCCUACCUCUGCACUGUACAAAAUAACUGAAUUGUCUAUUUUCAACUUCCUUAACGAAACACACAAAACAUUGCAAAGUCCAUAUUGAUACUAUAAGUUGCUGACUCAUUUUUUAGCAUCAUCAAUGCACUUUGUGAUCUGUAACCCUCAACUUGUGAUGUAAUCAAAAAUCCCACAAUGGUGCCAGUUAUUAUUUUGUUAAAGGGACACUCCAAAGCCCUAAAACACUUUGGCUUGCUGAAAUGCUUUAUGUUGAAGACUGAAUAGUUUGUCCUCUUUUUUUCCAUUUAAAAAAAUUUGUGGAUUUCAAUAGAAAUGUGUACUUUUAUAAAGUAAUCUUGGUACACCCCCUUGCUGUCAGUCAGACGAACGGUCCUCUUACUUUCUGGUAUGGUUAGCUCAGAGGAGCUAAACUCAAGAGGCAGCAAUUGACUAGAACACCUGCCUUGCAAAGACUUCUCAUUAAGCUGCAUUGGGAAGCCUGUGAUUGUACAGCCAUAAAAAGUCUGGGCUGGCAUAGAAAGGUUUGUAAAGGCAGAAGAAAAAAAUAUCUGCACAUUUUGCAAAUUGUUUUUGGAUAUAGGAUACCGUAUAUACUAUACUUGUGCUAAAAACCCCAACUAAUACUUGAGUCAGUCUGUAUUGUGGCAACUUACAUUGCCACAAUACAGACCAGGACCGCCGGGCUCAUUACAAGCCCGGCGGUCCUGUUGGGGGCUGACAGUGAGCUGUUACUUACCUUCCUGCAGCUCCCUCCUCCUCCGUGCAGCUCCUCUGUCAGCUCCCCCCACUGAACUGCCAAUGCCACUGGACCACCAGUGAUUUAAUAUUAUUAAGAUAAUAUAAUAUUAUUUUAUUAUUAUAUUAUUUUAAUAUUUGCCUUAUUUUUUUUUAAAUGUUUUUUUUUGUCCACCCUCCCUGCUUGUUGCCUGGUCAGGGAGGGGGGACAAAAAAACAUUUAAAAAAAAAAAUAAUGCAAAUAUUAAAAUAAUAAUAAUAUAAUAAAAUAACAUUAUUAAAAUAUAAUAUUUAAAUAAUAAUAUUAUUAUAUUAUUAUUAUUUUAAUAUUAUAUUAUUUUAAUAAUAUUAUUUUAUUAUUAUAUUAUUAUUAUUAUUAUAAUAUUUGCAUUAUUUUUUUUAAAUGUUUUUUUGUCCCCCCCUCCCUGACCAGGCAACAAGCAGGGAGGGGGGACAAAAAAACAUUUUAAAAAAAAUAAUAUAAUAUUAAAAUAAAAAUUUUUAAAUAAAAAUGCCCUCCCCUCACCCAGUUUACAUACACUGCACAAACACACACACUGCAUUAUAUACACACUGCAUUCAUUAUAUACACACAACACACAAACACAAACACUGCAUUCAUUAUAUAUACACAUACAAACACACACUCUGCAUUCAUUAUAUACACACACACACAAACACACACUCUGCAUUCAUUCUAUGCACACACUGUAAAUAAAUAUUCAAUUAAUGUAAUUUUAUUGGGAUCUAAUUUUAUUUAGAAAUUUACCAGUAGCUGCUGCAUUUCCCACCCUACUCGAGUCAAUACGUUUUCCCAGUUUUUUGUGGUAAAAUUAGGGGCCUUGGCUUAUAUUCGGGUCGGCUUAUACUCGAGUAUAUACGGCAUUUGGAUAUUCAUUGUGAGUAUAUCUACAAAACAGUGAUUUUAUUUAUAUUUCUUAUUUGGAUAGUGGAGUGUCCCUUUACUCUGUAAAUAUUGGAUUGUCAAACUCGACAGUUUGAGAUUGACAAAUCUAGUUUUAAAUCGAUAACAUUUUCUGACUUUAACAUCCACUUUACAAGCAGUAAAAUGGUCCAUAAAUUUUGGAAUAGUAAUCAGUUUAACCCCUUAAGGAAACAUGACAUGUGUGACAUGUCAUGAUUCCCUUUUAUUCCAGAAGUUUGGUCCUUAAAGGGUUAAGAGCAAACUUCCAGUCAAAAUCCAGACAACCUUGUCAAUCAGUUACUGGCCUGGGAUUGCAAUGUAACCCAUGAAUUUUAAGUGGCACCAUAAAAUGCAUCAUAAUUUAUAGAACUAAUAGUUCUAGUACUAAUUAGGGGAGAAUAAAUAUGUUUUUGUAUUUUAUAUAUAUAUAUAUAUAUAUUUAUAUAUAUUUUUUAAUGUAAAAGAUAAAAGGUUGUCCACUGUUAAAUUUCAAUGGAAACUUUCAGUAUGCAAUGCUUAACACUGCCCUUCUACAAUAUUACUUUUUGGGGUUUUUUAGGCACCACCUAAACACAAUAAGCAAAUAAUAUCAUAUCCCUUAUCUGAAAGUAAAAUCCCAUCCCUAUGCAUUUGCAUUCCUUUUAUAACUGUUAAAUGAUUUGAUUAAUCUUGGAUAUACUAUUGGGAUAUUCCAUUUCUAAGUUGUUCAUGGCUUUUAUUUUCAGAUGGCUUAUGUUGUAUAUCAGAUUACUUACUCAAAAUUUCCAAAACCGUUUUUUGUUCCCUGUGAUUGCUUUGCAUUCCUUUUGUUUCUCAUUCUUAGGUGGGGUUCUCCGCUGUAUUUAACUCUGAAACGUUUGAUCAGCUUAGCUUAUAUAAUAUGUGGGUUUUAUAAAGAACAAUAGAGGUUCAAUAGUCUAAGCAGUUGAGCAUCAUAAUUAAAAUAAAUUGAAUUCUCCUGAGUAUUGUUCCUCUGUUAGAAUCAAGGUGAAUAUCCAGACGUGGAGGAGUUUUGACAGGAGCUUCAGUGUAGCAGUAAGUUUGGGAGCUGACUAAUGCACUAAUGGUGGGGCUUUGUAGCUAAUCAACAUACUCAUCAAGUAUGGAAAGGCCACUUGAAAUUGGCCACAAGGCAGGAACAGGAUUGCAGGAGCACAUAUGUGCCUAACAUAACUGUCAAAUGUAUGAAGGACAAGGCACUUUAGUAAUGAUAACAUUAUACAAAUAUGUGCAUGGCUCUCUGAUUGCCAGUUCAGAUUCAGGUCUGCACAAAGGACAAGAGGUCAUCUUCUGAAAUAUCACCUACCAUCGGAAAAUUGGUGACAAACUAGCUGAUAGGGAUUUUAUUAAAGCAACACUCCCUGCAUGCUGUAGUGGUUAUGAUGCCAAGAGUGACCUGCCACCGCCCAAAUGUAAGUAAUCAGACCAUUUGCUAAUUGUUUGACUCGUUUGACUCCUCACCUGGAGCCUGUCAGACACCACUCCCUGCCUUCCCCCUUUUUCUCAUCUGCUGUGGAGAGACGGAAACUCCUGCAAGGAAGCUCUGUUGUCUCUCCUGACCAAAGCCCUGUAUUGCAGGCCAGCUCAUUGGCUGAGAGAGUCAGCUGAAUCAUUCCCAGCCAAUGAGGUAAACCAUGCACCGCCAAGCUUAGCUAAGUACCGAGAGCUUAUUUUUCUCAUAGAUAAUGUAACAGGUUCCCAGCAGACUUCAGGUAAAAAGUAAAAGCCAUUUGACUACUGACACGGGGGGAGCCCCAGGGCACUCUUGGUAUCAUAACGAUUACAUUGUUGUAACUAUUAUGAUGCUUGGAGUGUACCUUUAAUAGCUUGCAGGUACAUGGAGAAAUGUGAUUGGCCCUUUGGGGUCAUUUACAAUAAUCUUCUACUUUUAUAUAUAACAUAACAAUAAAUAAAAUAUUAAACAAUGGUAAGAAAACAAAAUACAUCUCAAUUUUCAAUUUAAUACUUUAUAUUUCAGCUAAAGAAGAUUCACUAAUUAGCCCUGAUUGUCAAAAUGCCCAAUGUGUCUAGGAUUUCAAUAAACAUUUAGAAAUAAUAAAGCAAAUAUUGCAAUGAGUACAUUACGGUUUUAAAGAAACACCUUAUUGUUUGGCGUGCUGAAAUUGUUAUCUUAAUAGUAGUCACAGAAUACCAACCCCUACAUAAAAGUCUACAUUAGUAGAAAGUAGAUCCCAAGGCUAAUAAACUGAGAGCAUUUUGUUUAACCAUUUUAUCACCAAACGGGGUCAGUGAAGCAAUGAGCACACUGAUACCCCACAUGUAUACCUUUGCCAGGAGUUUCAGAGAAUGUAGGGACAAAUAACAGACAUGCCACUGACGUGUCACUUUGUUUACAUACUAGAGAUAUGAUUUGGUAAAGUGACAUUAUCUGUGUCAGCGUAAUGAGCAGCAUGAAAUAUAAGCGCUAUUUCUGAACCUACCCCUACCCCUAAUCAACCCUCUAAUCCUAACAUCGACUAUAUACCUACCCAUAAGUCUAACCCUAACCCUGACAUCAACAGAGGGAUUUCCCAUCUCACACAGUACAGAGCACUCUGUCAGUGCUCUCUACUGUUGGCAGCUGGAAAAGCCCAGUGCCGAUCACUUGUGGCAUGCAGAGAGACACUGGGGUGUCAGUCUGUCCAUUGAAAGCUCGAAGUCCUCUGGUGAUUUAAAAGGAUGUCGAGGGAUACUAUCAGAACCAUUAAGACUACAGUCUGAUGUAGUGGUUCUGAGCUCACAGAAGCUUCUUGCAGGCUAGCAGAAUAAACAAGGAAAAUCCUGCAAGAAGCUUCUGUGAGCUCCUAUUAACUAACCCCUUAGCGUUCUCCGCCAAUAAGCGAUUCCCUGCACUGCUGAGCUAAGCUCAGUGCAAGACCGCCCUGGACAGAAGAGGCAUCUGUGAGCACCUUGUGGACUCCAGAUAAGGUGUCAAACCAUUCUCAAACCGUUUGAAUACUUACACUGGGGAGCAUCAGAACACUCUUGGUACCAUAACCCCUAUAGCACUCUGUAGUAUUUAUGGUGAUUGUAGUCUUACUUUAAAAUAUUAAAUGGAACAAUAAUUGGAACAAUAGUUCCUCAAUAACAUUCAAACAUGUGAAAGAUGGAUAACAUAUCAGAAUGCAGGGGCUUUUAUGUGUGGAACAAAAUGUCUGAUAUUUAAUGCAAAUGCUGCAGUAUACCAUAAUUACCUAUACGGGCUUAUAAGACUCACUAUUUAUUAAAUAAAAUGUAUAAAAAAUAUAGCAUCCAUCUUUUUUUUAUCCUCUCAGCAUCUUCUCCAGUGGUAAAGGGUAUCACAUUUUGUGUCAUUUUUAAAAUUCAUGGGUUCUAUAUGUUCUAUACAUAUUGAAUAUUUGUUUUCUUUCUUUAUUGAAGUCAAUCAUUUAUUUUCUCCAUCGAACUGAUUUUCCAAAGUGUAGCUUCUAGAAUUGACGUAAAUGGUUUGUUUAUCUUUGAUUUUGCAAUGCAGACCUGGCUGCUGUGCGAAUUCUAUAAUUUCAGACUGAAUUUAACUCUUGUUAAGUUUCUUUUAGGAGCACUGUCCAUAGGCAUUGAUGGAUGUUUGUUUAAAACAAAAAAUGACAACUCAAUUACAUGACUUUAAAAGGGGUGACUCCACCUUAAGAGCAUACACGUUUUUUUCACACAGUUAUGAUUAAUUUGAUAGAUUCCAUGUAGCUCCGUCUUGAUUAUUACACUAUAGCUAUUUUUAAUGCAUGAAUUUUAACCUAAAAUUCCACAAAUGGAUUCCAAUAUGAAAGUAAACAAAGUGUUGGGAACUGUGUUUCUAUGAAAUAAAUGUAAAAGGAUCAAGUUUUAUUUAUUUUUUAUGCUUAGGAGUUACAUUUGUGUGCUGCUCUUCUAAACUGAAUAUUAAUAAAACCUUUUUAAAAAGUUAGUGAAUUCACAAGAUUUGAUUUUUGGAUAAUCCAAUUUAAAUCAAUAAUUGUAUUUAGAUUAAAUAAAUAUUUAUAACUAGUUUACAUUAUGAUGAAAAUGUUGGCAAUGAAAUGAGUGACAAGUAACUUGUUAUCACAGUGGGAGCAUCAUUAUUUAAUGGUAAAUCAAUUGUUAUUUUCUCAAGGAUUCCAUAAUUUCAGAGCGUGAAUUAUGCUGGGGACGUUUUAUAGAUAUACUUAUAUCAGUUUCCAAUGACAGGAUAAUUUGAGAUAUUUCACCACACAUAUAGAGGGAUACUAUAGUCACCAAAUCAACUUUAAGCUAAUGAAGCAUUUUUGGUGUAUAGAUCAUGCCCCUACAGUCUCACUGAUUAAUUCUCCGGCAUUUAAGAGUUAAAUCACUUUGUUUAUGCAGCCCUAGACCCUCCCUGCAUAUUACUUGCACAGCCUUCCUAAACACUUCCUGUAAAGUGAGAUCUAAUGUUUAUACUUCCUUUAUUGCAAAUUCUGUUUAAUUUAGAAUUUCUUUUCAACCGCACUGUUAAUUGUUUGCUAGACCUUGCAGGAGUCUCUUCUAGGUGAGUAAAGUUCAAUUUACAGAGUAAAAAAUAAAAACUAAAGUAAGUUACUUCUGAUUGAAAAUGAAACCACUUUUUGUAUGCAAGCUGUACCAGUCACGGCAGGGGAGGUGUGGCUGGGGCUGCAUAAACAGAAAAAAAAGUAAUUUCACUCCUAAAUGGCAGAGAAUUUAGCAUGAUCUUUACACAAAAAGCUGCCUCAUUAAGCUAAAGUUGUUUUGGUGACCAUUAAAUAUCUCUACGAUCCAUCCAGGGUUUUAUAUACUACUAUAGCAGCCAGCAAGGCAUGCCUGUGGUAUACUCAGAGACCGUCUCUUCUUCUCCCUAUAUCUGACUAUUAGAAUGCAGUCAUGGAAUUUUACUUGCGGGAGAAAGGGGUGCUGAAGUACUACCAUUUUCAGACACUUCUCUACCCUGUGUUUUGCAUAUGUUUUACCAUAUUUCUCAAUUUUUCUCCAUGUUUCUCAAUUUUUUUAUCGUUCGCUUGGAUUUCUAAUUUUUACUCAAACCUGCAUGUAUGUGACAAUUACCAGUGGGACAACCGUACUGUAGAAUAUUUCAGUUUAAUGUCACAAGUACAAAUGCCAAACCAUGCCAGCAUUCUUCAGCAGUGUUACAAGCCCUACGUGGGUCUGAAAAGGACAUGCAAUGCAAGCAUAAACAGAUGUAUGGUAAUUGGUUAAAUUCAAGGGAUAAAGCUAGUUUAAGGAGGCAUUUCAAAUAUUUAGAGAUGCUUUUUAAAUGUUGUGUAAACAGAGCACCUUUAUUUGUCCAGAAAUCUCUUCUGGCUACAUAGCUGCAUAACAAAGAUUAAGAAAUGAAAAGAAACCAUAAUUUAUUCACAAUAAAACAUGUCCAAAAUAGUGGUUUUGCUGUUAUUUGCCAGAAUAUUUUGAGUGCAACUGUGGAAAUAAUUUUGCAAACCUAUAGUUAUAAAGCUGCCACUUUUAUCAAGUUUGUUAAUCCAUAAUUAAUAAAUAAGCAUAAUCCGCAUCUCUUUUUUUUUUUGUUUAUAAAUGGCUAUCAGCUGUAAUUUUUAAAGUAUAGAUAAAUUAUUGUAAAGUGCAAACACUCUUACCAUGUAUGUGCAAGGGAAUUAAGUUUCAUUGUGGAACAUGUACAAUUUAAGAUUGCUUGUAUACAAGAAGAUCUAUAAUGUAUGUAUUAUUUUAGCAGAGUUUUAUAAAAACACACAAUAAAGUUCAGAGUCUUGCCAGCAUAGCUAGGCAAAAGUCUGCUGCUUAGUUGCUUGUCAUAUGCCUAAUCUCUAAUCUUAAUAUGUAGCCCCAACACCAGAUAAAAAGCAAACCCUAUUACAACAAACCGGUCAAUUUUGAAAUUGUAAUAUAUUCUUUAUGAAAAAUGGCCUAUAUCAGUGACGUAACUAGUAAUUGUCCCGACCCCACCCUCCCUCCCCACACACACACACAUGUUUCAUUCCUUCCCUCAGCUACCCAUGUGUCUAAUUUCCUUCUCCCGCUCCACACGUGUCUCCUUCCCUCCCCCCAUCCCCUCCACGAGUCUCAUUCUCUCCCUCUCAGCUACUCGAUGGCUCAUUUCCCCGCUCCUCCCCAGUCCCUCCAUUAUUCUAAUUUCUCCACCUCUCAUCCCCUUCGCCCCCCACCCAGCCCUCAUUAACCCCCCUCACUUCCAAUCCAGCCCUCAUUACACCCCCUCACCGCCUAUCCAGUCCUCACUCCAUCUCUCACCCCCCAUCCAGCCCUCAUUGACACCCUCACCCCAUCCAGCCCUCAUUAACCGCCCUCACCCAGCCCUCAGUCCAUCUCUCACCCCACAUCCAGCCAUCAUGAACCCCCCCACCCUCCAUUCAGCCCUCAUUAACCCCCAAAACUAACCCUCAUUAGCCCCUUCACCCCAUUCAGCGCUCUCUCUCACCCCCAUCCAGCCCUUAAUCCCUCUCUCAGCCCCCCAUUCAGCCCUCACUCUCUCACCACCCCUUCCAGCCCUCAUUAAGCCCCCUCACUCCCCCCAUCCAGCACUCAAUCCCUCUGUCCCCACUCUUCCUCUGUACCUUAUGUCUGAGUGUAGUGUGGCCGAGGGAUACCCAGUCUAACAGGAAGUUCUCUGUAAGUGAGCACUUCCUGUCAGCCGGGAUACUUGGCCGCACUACACACAGAGAGCGCGCUACACACACCGCGCUCCCUGAAGUUGUGGUGUCCCACGGUUGCAGGGGUCGCAGCUGCAGCUGUGACUCCUCCGACUGUGGUAGGUACACCACUGGCCUAUAUAUUACAUUUGUAGUGUACGCUGAAAUUUUAGCACAAUCAAAAAGUAUAUAGAAGACAGGACUGAUUUGAUUUAUGUAUGUUAUUGAACAUGGGGAAGCUGGUAGAGUAGCUAGAUUCUGGCUUUUUACUAUAACUACUACCAUAAGUAAUAUGCUGUGUGUGUGGGAGAGAAGAUCUAUGAAGGAUUCUGCAAUCUUGCAGAAACUUAUAUUGACUCCUAUUUUGUACUCUUGUUUAUGUGCUGGAGUACCAAAGGUGACACCACCUUGGCAUGCCAAGAGACAGAAAGAAAAUGGCACUGCCAAGGGAGAAAGAGUUAGAGAUUAAUAGAUGGGACUGAACUCCCUGUACCCCGGCUGGUUCCCUCCGCCAGCUUCCUAGCCGCUUGCAGGGACCCUGGAACACUUCUGCCCCAGUCACCACAGCUUGACUGAGGUCAUUCUGGAGCUUUUGUACCUGACCAGGCAGCAGCUCUCCUUCCAGGCAGGUAUCAUCCCCUCUGCCUGUUCCAUUGCAGCCCUUCUACUCGGCAGGUCCCCUCUGCGUAUUCUGCUGCAGCUCUGUUUACAGUGAUUAUAGUUAUUGCCUUUACAAAGAAAGAAUUGCAUCUCUUAGGCCUAGCUCUUUUGAUUUAUCCCAGGUUUAGAGGGAUCCUGCAACCAGCAAACAGGUCCAAAGACUCUGUCACUAGGAUCCCUAAAAAUCCACACAAGAUACAAGUUCCAGAGGGAACUGACAUACAAAAUUUUAAUUUUUCUCUGGACUAGCCCAUAGACUCAUUACAUGUUGGUUCCUGUGACAACUUAAAUAAAAUAUAAAAAAAGAAAUCAUAGCAGACAAUAUACAGCAACUUAUUUUAACACAAUGACAUAUUUAUAAAGGGGUGGAGAAGAUAAUAAUUAAGACAAAAUAUCUCUCCUGCCUGCAGAAUUAGCAAUAUGCAAAUCUACCUGAAUAUGCAAAUUAGCAAGAAUUUCUAUUCAGGUAGUGCAUAUAGCUGAUGCUGCAACCAACAAAGGGUGCUAUACAGGUCCCAUAGCCAAAUCCUCCUAGUUGGUAGCAAGCAUUACAUCAGCAGUACAGGAGAGCACACAAACAAUUAAUUAAUACAUAAUACACAUACAUUACACAUAAUACACAUACAUUACACACACCCUGCAUCUUCAUUGGGCACAGGGUGACUUAAACAUAGGAGUCAUCCAGGGAUCUAAUUGAAGUGUCCAUCUUAUGCUCCCAGUGAUGGUGACUACUGUCACAGUUGAUCAUGUCCUUCCCAUACUCCUACCAGGUUACAUAAUCAAUCUGAUGUUUUACCAAUGUGGAACUAUGCAAAAAAGUGCAUAGACCCUCUCCAACUUAGUGACAAGCUCAUUUUAGGGCUAACUCGCCAAUAUAAGCUGUGCUGCAAUGAUGAGGUGCCAUGUUAAAGGUAAUGUAAAUAUGAUAUGCAUCAGAAAGUGGUUGAAAAGCAUGAGUUUUUAACCCCUGGUUUGGACCCAUAUUUGGUGCUAUUUCAUGCAAUUUCAGUGGGUGACUAAUGGUUGAAUGUGGAACAUCUUAUUUAUGAUCCUUGCAAUGUGCUCAGUUAAUGUAACUGUAUAUUAUCUUUUUUAAUUUUGUAGAGUAUAAAUAAUAAAAAAAAAAGAAUCAAGGUGUGACAGUGAGUCAUUCCUGUGAAAUCUGUUUUCCCAGAAUUUGUCCAUUUUCCUAUAUCAACAGCUUCUGUUAUUUUUUUCACGAUCCUUGUGAUUGAAUUUCCUCUCAUUAUGGAAGAUUCAUGUUAUUCAUUAUGUCGGGAACAGUUUUUUUCCAAAGACAAUUUAAAAUAUUAUCAUUAGUUAUCAGCAUAGGCGUGGGCAGCCUAUUGCAUUAGGAUGUGCACCCUAAAGCACAAACACACGCCGCGCGUGUGUGUGUGUGUGUGUAUGUAUCUAUAUAUAUAUAUAUAUAGAUACAUACACACACACACACACUGCUGUGUGUGCUGUUAGUGUGCUGUGUGCUGUUAGUGUGAUGUGUGUGUGAGGGUGCUGUUAGUGUGAUGUGAGGGUGUUUGUGUGUGUGUGUGUUUGUGACUGUGCUGUUUGUGUGUGUAUAUUUGUCCUGUGAGGGUGCUGUUUGUGUGAGUGUCGUGUAUUUGUGAGGGUGCUGUUUGUGUGUGUGUGUGUUUGUGAGGGUGCUGUUAGUGUGCUGUGUGUGAGGGUGUUGUGUUUUUUUAAAGGUGCUGUGUGUGUUUGUGAGGGUGCGGUUAGUGUACUGUGUGUGUGUGAGCUGUAUGUGUGUAGGUGCUGUAUGUGUGUGUGUGAUUUGGCAGAUUAGUAAAUCCUUGCUGCCAUGUGCCAUCCCUGGUGGUCCAGUGGAGAGUGAACUCUAGCCUGCGGGGCUAGAGUUAACUCUCGCGAGAUCUGAGCGUUGCCGCAGCAACGCUCAGAUAUCACGAGAGGGACAUGGCGGAGCUUCUGUCUAGAGCUCCCUGGGUCCUCUCCUGCCUCCCUCCAUGCUGCUGUGGGCCGGUGAGGUAGAUCUUUGGUCUCCCCGCCGGCCCAUGGAGGCUUAGAGCAGAGCCGGCACUCAGAUAGCGCCGGCUCUGCGUGUGUGUGUGUGUGUGUGUAUAUAUAUAUAUAUAUAUAUGUGUACACACACACACUCACAGACACAUUCAGACACACACACACACUCACAGAAACACACUCACACAGACACACACACACAAUUACACAGACACACACAUACACUCACAGACACACACACACAUACACAAUCACAGACACACACAGACACACACACACUCACACACAGACACACACUUACACACAGACUCACACACAGACACACACACACACACACAGACACACACACUCACACACAGACACACACACACUCACACACUCACACACACACACUCACACACAGACACACACACUCACACACAGGCACACACACUCACACACAGACACACACACACACACUCACACACACACAUACAAAUUAUUAUAUUUGAAUUAAAAAAAAAUGUCCACCCAGCCUCCUACCUGGAGCUCAGCCGCGGCGAGGGAGCAGUCUGCUCUCUGCUCCCUCUCGCCGCGCGGGCUGUCUGCUGUAGCUGGGAGCCGGAAUAUGAUGUCAUAUUCCGGCUCCCGGCAUCAGCGCGCGGCGAGAGGAAGCAGAGAGCAGACCGCUCCCUCGCCGCGGCUGAGCUGCAGAGAGGGGGGUUAUCCAUCACCUCUUGCCCUCCCCAUGACAGGGGCAAGAGGUGAGACAGGGGGUGCUGAGUGCCUGCAGGAACAGCGUUUCUGCUCAAAAAAAGUGCAGGAACACUGUUCCUGCCGGACUCAAACCAUAGGCAUGCCACGGGGAUUAAGGUGUGCCCAGACACACCAGGCACACCCCGUGCGCACGCCUAUGGUUAUCAGUAUUAUAUUGUUAUAUACCACCAGAAGUUACUUUCAAAUACACGUUCGUAACAGGCAUACACAAUGAUAGGCUGAAAUACAAUGAUCAUAUAAGGCUUUAUAAGCCUCCCCCAGUCUGCGCGUCACCUCCAUGGGUGAAGAAGGAUUUAAAAAAAAAAAAAUAAUAAUUUAAGUGCGUCGGUUAUUAUGGAUUUUGAUUUGGCCUUUUUUGGGGCUGAAAAAAGAAGAUUUUAGAAGAAAGAAAACAUCAAAUGGUAAGUUUUAUUUUAUCUUUUUUAACAGGUACUUAGUUAAUGCCCCCCCCUCAUUAUUUUUAGGGUGAAAGGGGUAGGUAGGAGUUAAAAACAUUUUGGGAGGGGGGUGACUAGAGGUUUGGGGACCCCUAGUCACCUGGUGGUGGGGGGUGGGGUUACAUUUUUAUUUAGGGUCCCCACCCGCCACCCAGGGGUGGGGGCCAGAGGGGAGGACAUUAGGUCCCCCCCUAAUUGGUAUUUAGGGCCCCCACCCACCGCUCAGGGGUGGGGACAGGGGAGGAUGACAUUAGGUCCCCCCCUCAUUCUAAUUUAGGGCCCCCAUCCACCGCUCAGGAGUGGGGGCCAGGGAGGAGGACAUUAGAUCCCCCCCUCAUUCUAAUUUGGGGCCCCCACCCACCGCUCAGGGAUGGAGGCCAGGGGGGAGGACAUUAGGACCCCCCUAAUUAGUAUUUAGGGCCCCCACCCACCACUCAGGGGUAGGGACGGGGGGAGGACAUUAGGUCCCCCCUUAUUCUUAUUUAGGGCCCCCACCAUCUGCUCAGGGUAGGGGUUGGGGGGAGAACAUAGGUCCCCCCCCCAUUAUUUUACUUUAGGCCCCCCAUCUGCAGCUCAGGGGUGGUGGCCGGGGGGGAGGACAAUAGGUCCCCCCUUAUUCUAAUUUAGGGUCCCCACCCACCGCUCAUGGGUGGGGGCUGGUGGGAGGACAAUAGGUCCCCCCCCUUAUUUUACUUUAGGGCCCCCAUCCGCCGUUCAGGGGUGAGAGCCGGGGGGGGCAAUAGGUCCCCCCUUCAGGUUAGAAGCCCCCACUUGCGCGGCACGGGUGGGGGCUUGGGAGGGGGGACAUGUUAUUUUUUUUUUUACAGUGAGCAGCCAUAGGCUAAGUAAUCUUUGCUUAGUAUUAGUAAAUUUGGCUGAAAGACCAAUUCAGAUCUUUCAGCCUUUUAGUAGGACCGUGGGAAUUAGAGAGUUAUCUACUUAUAUGACUGGCUAAGUAACUUACAUUUUAUAUGAAUGUAUGUUACUUGAUUGUUGUAAGUGUUGCAAAUGCUUACAGCUGAAUCCUGGCUAUGUUUGUAUACUUUUUAUUUAAACUUGUAUACAUUGUAACAUUCUUCUUCCACUGGGUAAGUAUACUUCGGCACAUCAGCAGUUCGGAACUUCGACACUUCUGAAAUUCUGUAAUUUCGGAAAUUCUGUAAUUUCGGAACUUCGGGACCUCAGCAAUUCGGCACUUCGGCUAUUCGGCACUUAGGCUAUUCGGACAUUGGGAAGUACCCGAAUGUCCGAAUUGCCUAAGUGCCGAGUUCAUAUUUGGACCGAAAUGAAUUGCACAUGUCUAGAUAGCACCAAGUUACCCAUCACCAAUUACACCACAAUCUCGCAGACACUUAGAGCUGUGGUAGUCAGUUUAGUUUAUGUUUAGUGAAUUUAGUGUAUGUUUGUAGGGAAUCCUGUGUGUGUAGGGGAUGUAGUGGAUGCUGUUUGUGUAUCUGUGUAUGUCAGAGAGGAAGUUAAUUGAUACAGAGUUCAUAGUGGAUGCAGUUAGUGUGUGCAUAGUUAAUGCAAUGUGUGUGUUUGAAUAGUGUAUGCAGUGUGUGUAAGGGAUGCAAUGUACAAAGGCGUAACUACUGUGGUCGCAGGGUCGCAACUACGACCGGGGUCAUGACUCCAAGUGGCUCAGCUGCCCUGAGGGGGUUGUUUGCAUGUGUGUAUAAAUAUAUAUAUACCGCUCCCCACGUGUCUCCUUCCCUCCGCCCCAGCCCCUCCACGAGUCUAAUUCUCUCCCUCUCAGCUACUCCAUGGCUCAUUUCCCCGCUCCUCCCCCAGUCCCUCCAUUUGUCUAAUUUCUUCACCUCUCACCCCCUUCGCCCCCCACUCAGCCCUCAUUAACCCCCCUCACUUCCCAUCCAGCCCUCAUAUAUAUUAUUUGGACAUGCGCUUGUAUAUAUAGUCGUGUCUCUCCAGUGUGACUUUUUCACACUUUGUGUCCUCCAUUUGUCUCACAACAAAGAAGGCAAUAGCGGGGGUGAGGGGUUGCAACAUAACAACAUAUUGGACUAAUAUGGCAACAUGCCCCAAUGGGGGGGCGCAGCAAUAUGAAGCAAUAAAGAACUGCUGGAUUAUUGCUUGUUGGAAUUAAAUGUGCAAGCGUGUUUGCAAAGGGAAAAUUGUCUCAUGAAGUGCAAAGUACCUUAACAUCAUAUGAAAUUGUAAAAUGUUAAUAAUGUGAUAAUCAUAUUUAUUUUAAAUAUAUUUUUUUUUAUUUUUAACGUUAUUUCGCUGUUACUGAGGUUUGACCAUGUCUAAUGUUCAUAAAAGUGAAAAAGAUAUAAUUUUUCUUGUUAUAAAAAAUAUACUAGGUGUAAAAUGUGAGCCACCUGAUGUGUUUUUAAAUGACCUACAGAUCAUAAAGGUCAUUGUUGUAAAUGGGUCAUCAGAAACAUGUCCACUCUGCGAGAUAUUGUUUUAUACCGUUUUUUGUUUUUUUUUACUUUUAGAUUACAAGUUUUUAAAUGUAGUAGUAAUAUUGUAUCCCAUCAACAAAGCUGCAUUUGUUUAUGACCAUAUGUGGGGAAUGCAUAUAAUGAAUCUCUAAACUUUAGCUCACAGUUGAAAUCACAAAAUAAAGGUCUUGAGGCGUUUCUUAAGUAUUCAAGGUAUUUAUAAAUAAGUUCCAGUUAAGUGUUCUUUCCCGUCAUCUGUCUGAUGAGUGAUUAGUGAGAUUACUGUAAUCUUAUCUCAAUACAAAAAAAAUCUAUUCCGUACCAACUUCCUAUUAAGGAUAUAAUCAUUGUAAAAGUAGCAGUGAGGAGAAUAGCAUAUCAUAUAUAAAAAUGUUCUAAUGCAAAAAAAUAAGCAAAAAUAAAUAAAUAUAUAUAUAUAUAUAUAUAUAUAUAUAAAACUUCCCUCUGAGCAUCUCUGUGAUCAAGAAUAUUAAUCAGUGCAGUAACUCGAUGAAUAUCACACACGAGUAAGCAAUACCGGGAGGCAGCUUCCAUCUACAAACGUUAAGUAAUUGACAUGUAUUUAUGAUUUCAAAUCCCAGUUAUGUGCAAUUAGCUUUAGGAAGAGAAGGCUGCAGGCCUGAAAACAUGGUUAAUAAGCAAAUAAUAUUUUAUCUGGAAUCUGACAAUUUACAUAUAUUACAUAACUUGAAGCACCAUAACCGCAUUAACCUACUGUAGUGGUGAUGAUACUAGGAGUAUCCUGGCGCUGUUCCCAAUAAUUGGGCAAACCAUUUUGCAACAGUUUGUGCUUGGGUCUCUCUGGGCGCUGGGUCACCUCUGAAGCAGGUUGAACAACAUCUGGCUUCUGCAGAAUGCACAGGAGAAAGCCCCUUCACUCUAAAAAGGACAAGGCAGCAUGAUUAUGUUUGCCAAGCUGCAUCUGAGCAAACCACAAGACUUCUGGAACAACAUCCAUUGGACAGACGAGACCAAAGUGGAGAUGCUUGGCCAUAAUGCACAGCACCAUGUUUGGUGAAAAAACAAACACAGCAUAUCAGGACAAACAGCUCAUAACAACUGUCAAGCACAGUGGUGGAUAGGUGACGAUAUGGGCUUGUCUUGCAGCCACAGGACCUGAGAACCUUGCAGUCAUUGAGUUGAUCAUGAACUUCUCUGUAUACCAAAGUAUUCUAGAGUCAAAUGUGAGGCCAUCUGUCCAACAGCUCAAAUAUGGCUGAAACUGGGUUAUGGAGCAGGACAAUAAUCCCAAGCACACCAGCAAAUCUACAACAGAAUGGCUGAAAAGGAAAAGAAUCAAGGUGUUGCGAUGGCCCAGUCAAAGUCCAGACUUCAACCCUGUGGCGGAACCUUAAAGAGAGCUGUGCAAACACAAAUGCCAGCAAAUAAACUGGAGCAACAUUGUAAAGAAGAGUGGGCUAAAAUUCCAUCACAACAAUAUGAGAGACUGAUAAAUUCAUACAGAAAACAAUUACUAAUGGUGGUUCCACAAGCUAUUGCUGCUAAUGGUAGUUCCACAAGCUAUUGAAUCGUACUUUCACACAUAGCUUCUCCAUUUUGGCUUUAUAUAUAUUGAUGUAACAUCUAUAUAUUGACCUAAAAUCACUAGUCCCCUACUAUAGGAAUCAAGAUUAGCUCAGAUAGAUUCAACACCCUACAGGAUUAAAGACCAGCUGAACAUGCAAUCAGAUAUAAGUGUCUGGGAGUGCCAAAGUUAAUAUUCUCAAAUCAUUUAUGAAAAUAGACAUUAAAGGGUUAAAUGGUGUUGUGUUUGACACACUGUAUGUAUUUUCAAUUUUUCUUUGAUGCAAAUUCUACAACUCAGAGCAAAAUGACUUUACUGAGUGUUCCACUUGCUUGAUAUAAAUAUUUAUUCUUGAAGGCAUGCAAAAAUUCUCAAGGAGCUUUUCAAAAAUGAAGUAAAGUAUUUCAUAUUAAACCCACCAGUUUCGGCACAAAUAGUACUAUUCUUAAUGUAUGAGUGCACUUUAACGUGCCAAAACUGUUCCGUCCAAUAACGAGUGUUUGUCUUCAUUUUUGCACAGUUUGUUGAGUGUUUCUUUAUUCCUUUCCAAGAAUAAAUAUUUAUCUCAAGCAAGUGGAACGUUGCACUAUAAGUCUUGAGUUAUGAGCUUAUUUGAAAGAGAAAGUACAGGAUCCUGGCAGGAAAUUUAUAAUCUCUAUGGUCAGAGUUGCAAUGUGAAUAUUGACUUUGCUUUGCAGAUACCACUUGAUGAGUUGGUCUUGUCCCUCAGCACAAGAGUUUAGGCAAACAUAAUGAUAUCAUUAUGGUUAGAUUACCAGUGGCAUAAAUAAUAAAUAGAGGGCCUUGGUGCAAGAAUGUUUUUCAGAACUCCAUUAGAGCAGAGGAGGCUAACAGUUUGGUUCUUAUUUCCAUGCAACUCCCUCUAUGCGGUCUGUUUUUCCAGAUGCCAGAAAUUUUUGCCUCAUCAGCAUGGUUACUGACUUGCAAUGGAGGCUUGGCGUUACUUGUCAAGUACAUACCAGCAGAGUGGUGGUGGGGAAAAAAGUGUGGAUGAAAACCCCUUCCACCUGAAGUAAGUGGAUAGUUAAUACAUUGCUAAACUUAAAUACACAAACCAGUCAAGCCAUAAAGUUAGCUUUUCCCACAGAAAUCUCACUUUAACAGUGCUCUCACUACUGCAAUGGAUUCUGGAUAGGCGUAUGCAAAUGAGCUCAACAAAGAACCACAUUUUUUGCCUCAUAAUUCCACUUUAUACAUGGAUUCCUUGGCAUGCUGAUGAGUUGCAUUAACAAUGAAACAGCUGUCCAUGAGUGGUUCACUGGCUUUGCUCCUCUUCCUGAGUUGUGUUUCAAAGCUGUUGUAUACAGCAAACACAUACUCCAAGGAAUCCAUGUAUAAACUGGAAUUAUGUUUUCAUCCAUACUUUUUUCCCCACCUCAACUCUGUUGAUAUAUAUAUAUAUAUAUAUGUAUAUGUGUGUAAAUAACUUGCUUAUUGUCUGUUUUUAUAUAUAUACAGCGUGACUACUUUUCGUUCAUAAUAAAUGUUCCUUUAUUAAGUUCUGCCUUUGUCUGAUUGAAGAGACCUAUUUAAUAGUAUUUUUGGUAGCACUGAUAUUUUGCUAAGGCACAUACUCUAUCUCAACUUGUAUGUUCAAUGAGUUAAGAUGGAAACACACAGUUUCAGAAUAAAGCUAACUAGAGCAGUGUCAAUUUCUUCCUUUUAUUUUUCUCCCAUUAAAUAUAACAUAUAAGGGAUAUAGAAGGGUUAUUAGUAGUAACUUACGAUUUCCCUUUACUCUGGUUCAGGUCUUGAUUGAAGAUUUCAGUUAUGCUCAAGAAGCAUAUUGUUUUUUUCUGACAAGCCUUAGCAUAGUAACAAGCACUUUACCUAAAUCAAUGCACCUUCAGAGCAGUAUAGUUCUAACAUGUAAUUGUCAGAUCAUGUUUAUAAGAUUGUCUAUAAAAAAGAAAGUAACAUCUUCUAACAUGCAUUCUCUUCAUUGCUUUUAGUUAGUACUCAGGGAUUUUUCAAAAAUGUUAACCCUAGACUUUUACUUAAAAGUACGGUUUCAUCAUGUCAGGUGGUCCUUUUUACUGAACUCAAAGCUUAUUUUAUGUCUAUGGCUUUACACGUCAUCUCACAUUAAUUAAAUUAGCCUUUGAACUUUAUUUUUUCUUCCUCUGUCUGACACAAAAGUGAUCAUUUCCCUCCUGAGAAUGUGGAGAAUGUAUAUAUAUUAUUGUAAAAUAGUGUUCUCUAAUGCCUUGUAAUUCCACUGAUACUACUAAAUCAAAUCUACUGUAAUGUAACACAAAACAAUUGAAAAAAAAUAUUUACGAGUGUUCUAUCAAACUCUUUUUUUUAUCUUCUAUUAGACAUUUUUCAAAAAAGUUAAUUUAAGUUGAUUCAGAGCUAAAUAAAGAUGAUCUAUAAUUAAUGACUUUGUGAUCCAAAUCUUAACGUGAGUGUGUCACUUUAGUACUAGAGAUUAGAUUGGUUGUAUUUAGUAUCUGGAUAAAACUGGUUGAUGACUAUAUUUUGUUUUUAUAUUUAAUAAUGUUCACAUUAUUAUGGUUCUGCACCUAUUUAUCUCCUUUAACUUCUGAACAGCAGAGGGUUAAUUAUGUUUGGUUCUAGUUCCUCCAUUCUUCAGCCCAAUCAUAAAUGUUUAAUUUAACAUCUAUAAAAUCAUUCUUUGCCACCCAGGGAUAAACAUUUCCAUCCGGUGUUGAAACCCCAGGACUGUGUGACUACAAGAAAAGCACAAACACGGUUAUAGCUGGAGUGAGGUCAGGUUUAGAAUUGGCUAAGCAGCCAAGAAUUCGGAGCAGGUAGUAAUUAUGAAAAUCAUGAUAAACAAACCAUAUCUGUCAAUAGAAUAUUAUAAUCUGAGUUGCCAUGACACAGAUGCCGUAUCACUUCUUGGAAUUGCACAAAAUAUUUGCAUAUAUCUUGGACGUUGCUGCCAUAUUGUACUUUGAGCCAGUGUUUUGAUGUUUUAGUUGAUGUGACAUUUGUAGCUGCAUCAGGGAUAGGACUUUUGAAGCCUGCUUUAUUUGUCUGUCAUUCUCUCUCUCUCUCUCUCUCUCUCUCUCUCUCUCUGAUAAUAAGUCUUCUCUGUACUCGUAUCGUGUUUUGAUACUUAUCAGCACUAUACAAUUAUAAGUUAUUGCAUUCUUGCUUGAUUCACAACUCUGUGUCCACACUGAGCUUCAUCCUCAUUCUAGGGUUUAUAGGUAUCUGGGCAAACCAGAUAGCUCUCCCAUUCAUAUUAGCUGUCAUCCAUUGAUAACUAACAUUAGAGGCAACAGAUCCCUGGUGGGAUCGUCCACAAAGCACCAUUAAGCAUUCUCACGUUAAAAAAUAUAAUGGUGAUGCAAGCAUUGAUAUGGUUCUUGACAAAUAAGGCUACCAACAGUUGUGAAAAGAAUUCCCUAAAAAAACAAAACACAACUUCUAUGUCCUAUAAGUCCUAAGUCCUAUGAGUUGACCUCUAGACUUAAAAAAUGAAUAAUUUCACUGUCAUAUACUUCUUAUACUCUAAAGGUACCUUGUAGUUUAGUUAAAAAGUACCUAAUUAGUCUAACUAAACAAAAAUUACAAACUCACCAACUGGGAGUUGUGUGGAACAUCUUAAGUGCAGAAUAUAAAGGAGUCAUCUACAGAGUGUUAUCCUAGGAAUCUAUCCAUUCAUGAUGACACAAAUGGAAGGAAUGUAUUUUAAAUGCUGGAGGUGGGACAGACAAGUCAGGAUUAAGUUGCAGAAUGAUAUAAAACAUAUUUUACAAAAUCGAACAUGUAAGACAGCUGAUUAUUUAGGCCAAAUGCUAAAAAUUAUUUUUGCGCAUGAAGUGUCCUUUAAAAUACAAUCAUUGGACAGAAAUACAUUCCCCAUUGUGUAAUAUCCCUCAUGUCUGCUAUUUCAAUACAUUUAAGAUUUGUUCCAAUAUUCAGGGAAAUUAUUUUUUUUCUGUUAAUAUAUUUUACAGAAGGAAAAGGAAUCUUCCAGGAGAAUAUCUUACUUGAAACAGAUUUAAAAAAAAAAUCAAAAUGUCAGCACUUUCAUGUCUUUUUUUUAUAGGUGGAUAUGUCUAUAAUAUUAAAAAUGUUUUAUGCAAACCUUUGUAAACAUUACAAUUAUAUUGUUUUUUUAUCAAGGUUCCGCUGGAGAAGACGUUUACUUGUUAUCUCUGCUCCCAACGAUGAAGAAUGGGCCUAUCAACAGCAGCUGAAUGCGCUGACUGGACAAGCAUGUAACAUGGGU